GUCCAGGGAUGGGAAUCGAACCCACGACCUUCCGCUUACCGGGCAGAUGCCAUGUCCACUAGGCUACCCUGGA